rnacentral:lncRNA from 1 species
UCAAUUCAGAAGAAAUUCCGAUUAACCUGCUCUUUAAAUUUUAUACCUGAGUAAGUCGGUUACUCGUGAAUAGCUUCUUCCUUAAUAGCGACAUUGCAAAUCCCAAUAAUCAUUUAAAAAAAAUCUAAUAUCCUUUCUAGAACUCUCUUUACUUGCUAUCCCAUCCACAAUUCUGACUGCAUUAUUAUUCCUUCAAUUAUUGAACUCUUCAAUUUCACACUUGUAAACUUAAUGAAUACAAUUCUUGUAAAUUCCAUUGUUCAGGUGAGGGGGUGAAGGUCGUAAAGCCUCAAAAUUUGACUCUUAUAUAUAUACUUAUAUAUAUAUACACAUAACAUGACUUUUAUCGUCAAUAUAUUCAUUACAAACAUUCAUUUCAUACCUUAUAAAUCUUUACUCAUAUAGGCAACUCCCCUUUCUCUAUCAAAUACUCAAAUAUCACUUUCAUCACUGUCGGAACUAGAUCAAUUGGAGACAUUUUUGUCUAUUAGUAAAACAUUUCUCAUUUAUCAAGGUUACUCUUUUAAGUGUAUAAAUGUAUAUUUUCAUCCUUAUCUAUAAGAAUUACUAUUUUAAAUCUCCAUACAGAACUAAAUAACAUUUACUUAUUCACAACUUUAAAUUAUUUUAUUACAAAUACAUACUUCUUUAUUCACAGCUUUGUAACUUAUUUUUCCUUUAUAAUCAUUCAUCAUUGAAUCAAAGAUAAUCUUUUAUCUUGUAACAUUUUUUUUUUUAGCAGAGGCCCAGUAGACGAAACAGAACACUUAAGAAAUAUGGGACUGAUAUAACAUCUGAUGGCACCGUCCCUUCUGCGGGAAUAGGUGCAUUACUCUCUACUUCAUCUGUACUAGCUCGUUCAGGAUCCAUAACUAUAAAAGAAAACAUUUUAAAAUCGUCAGGAGUCGUCACACUAUCAAAAUAUAUAAGUAUGGCAUGUAUAGGUAGACUCUUAUUCUUACUGAGUAUUUCCGAGAACCGACUAAACCUGCUCUGAUACCAAUAAAAUAUAACACCCCUUACCCGAGACCGUUUCCGGAAUCGAGCACGAGGCAUUACUUAGCUUAUCUUACCAAUUCGGAGCAUAAAAACUAGGUUUGAAAAUUUAUUUCAUUAUUCGCAGCAAAUCUGUCUAAUCGCGCAGCAGUUACUAAAUUAAUUAUAACUUGAGCUACAGAACUCGAAAUUUAAUCCCGUAAAUUUUCCAUGAAACUAGACUCAUAUAUAUACUCGCCAUAAAAUUUUUAGAAUUUUUGGUUCAGCAAAUUAGUACAGUUUAUUAGUUAAAGUCUCCCCUGUGUCACCACCAGACUGCCCUGACCUCUAGUCACUAAAAAUAAGUUUUCUCACUAUAGGAUUUUCAUAUGAAGUUCUUACUUGUUUCUAUAGAAAAUAGACUCAUUAAGAAAUCUAAGCAUGUAAAUUUCAACUCAUAACCAUUUUUGUACAAUUUUUUAUUAUUUUCUAAACUCAGAACAGGGGACUCCAAAAACAGUUCUGACCCUAUCUUACUAAAAUUCACAUAUCUUAAAAUAUAAAUUUCUUUUUUUCUACACCGUUAUUUUUCCAUGAAAAUAGACUCAACAAGCUUUAAUUCCAUAUAUCAUUCACCCUCUAAUUCAUUUUAUACUAUCUUGGGUGAUUUUUCAAAUUCACGUCACUGUGCUGCCUGAAUUCUGUUUCUUUGCAAAAUUUUAUCCUUUCAUGAUUUCCAUGCAUAAUUUAUCACCUAAUAUUUCAUAACAACAAACACCUUCAUCCUUAAUCAUUUUAAUAACCAUACAUCAUCAAAUACUUACACAUCACUCAUUAGCAAAAUCAUCACUACAAACAUACAAAAUAACUAAAUUCCUAUACAUGUCAUAACUUAAACGUGUUUCGAUAUAAAAUACCGAGCAGUUGUAGUUGAUAGUGUGGACGAUCUCCGACUUCUUUAGGAUCCUUGAAGUAGCUUUGCAAUACUAUAAGAGAAAGAAAUAAAAGAAGUAAGCAUAAAGCUUAGUAAGUUUACUAGCAAAUAAAUAACAAUAUUUAACUUAAAUAAUUAAACUCAAUGUCUAUAUCUCUAGUUUACUCUUUAGUUAAUCUCAUACUAGUUCUCUUACUUGUUUACUUAGAAUAUUUGUGUGCAUAACUUACUCAAUCCUUGCUGCAUCGUUGAACAUCAAUUGAUAGUAUAAUAAGUUCUUAAGUCUUACAACUUACCUGAGCUUGCCAUUUAUGCUUUAAAAACAUGAUUCGUUUACAAGCCCGUUGAACUACAUUGGAAUAAUAAGGAUACUCGGGUCUCUUCUGAUAAUAACAUGCCAAAGCCAUGUCCCAGACAUGGUCUUACAUGGGAUGUUCUCGUGAUGGUGCCCAUGCCAUGUCCCAAACAUGGUCUUAUAGGGGACCUCUCAUCUCGGUGCCAACGCCAUGUCCCAGACAUGGUCUUACAUGGGACCUCUCGUCUCGGUGCCCAUGCCAUGUCCCAGACAUGGUCUUACAGGGGACCUCUCAUGAUCUUAAGGAUGCCAAUGCCAUGUCCCAGACAUGGUCUUACAUGGGAUCUCUUUACCCAAAUGUCAUGACAUUCGUAUCCAGUACCAUCCUUAUGUAUCAACGGGACUUUUAAAUUUUAAUUCUCUAUCAUUUCAUGCUUGGAUCAUCAUCAAAUAAAUUCAUAAAAUAAAUUCAUAAUUGCUGGAAAUUAACAGCAUUAAUAAUAAAUAUUGAAAUAUUGCAUUUAUUUACCGUAAACUUACCUCGGUACCAAUUAUAGCCAAAUUCACCAACUUAGUCUUCAACUUUAUUCUUCCCUUUGUCUAACCUCGAGUUUCGUACUUCUUGAUCUAAAAUAGUAAAUUUAACUUAUUUAAUAAUCACAUUCAUCAAAAUAGCCCUCGACUCUAACUUUUUCAAAAUUACAAUUUUGCCCCUAAACUUUUACAUAAUUACAUUUUUGCCCCAAGGCUCGGAAAUUAAACUUCAUCUCUUAUUCUUAUGUUUUAUAACAUUCUGAACAUUUUUCCCUUCUAUGGCAACAUCAAAUUCUAAUUUAAUCCCUUAUCAAUACUAAUUUUAUUUUUGCAUUCUAACUCUAUAUUCUCUCUUAAUUCUUACUAUAAAGUCAAUUUAAUUCCUCAAUUUCACCAUAAAUCCCUAAUUUCGGGAUUCUUUCAAUUUAAUCCCUAUCGAUUCAAAACUUAUAUUUUAUUUUACAAUUAUGUUCUUUACUAACUUCUAACUUGAAAUUAAAUCAAUUUAACCCCUAACUAAACCUAUAUAUUUUUCUUUCUCAAUUCAUACCCUUAUUCUACCCAAUUUCUUGCUAAACUCAUAUUUAACUAUUUAAUUUUUAUCAUGUUUUCAUAAUUUCGAAUUUAUUUCAAAUUAAUCCCUAAAAUUCAAAACUUAUAGUUUAGUUUACAAUUCAAUCCUUUAUUCAAUUCCAAUCAAAAUUUCUAUCAAAUACAUCCCUAAUUUAACAAUUUAUUCAACAUGAACCAUGCUUAAUAAUCUACUAACUUCCAAAAUUUCAACUUAAUCAAGUAGUAUUUUGUUCUAGGAUUUCAAAAAAAAUAUCAAAAUUAAGAGAAAAUGGGAUUAAAUUGACUUACCAAAUUACUUUGAACCUUAAAACCCCAAAUUUCCCUUUUUCUUUUCUUUUCUUUCUUUCUUUCUUUCCUUCCUUCCUUCUCUGUUUCGUUUUGCUCUCUGUUUCUUUCUUUCUCCCUUCUCUGUUUUGUUUUGCUCUCUGUUUCUUUUCUUUCUUUCUUUGUCAUAUAUAUAUAAUAAUAAUAUAAUAUAAUAUAAUAUAAUAUAUUAAUAAUAAUAUAAUAUAAAAACAUAAUUAUUACUUACGCAUGUAUAAUAUAAUAUAUAUUUUAAAUUAAAAAUAUCUUAGAUUUUUCUUUUGUUAUGCCGCCUCAACUUUAGAAAAAGGCAUAAUUGCCUAUUUGGUCCUUUAACUUUUCUUUAAUCUAUAAUUAAACUUUUAUCCUUACUUCAAUUUAGUCCUUUUUCAUAAUUAACUAUCAAAGCGUUAAAAUUUCUUAACGAAACUUUAAUAUUAUCCUGUUGACACUCCGUAAAUAUUUUUAUAAAUAUUUACGGCUCAGUUUAUAAUAUCGAGGUCUCGAUAUCUCGUUUUCGACCCAAUUUACCUAAUAAUUUCUUUUAAAUCACAAAAUUCACUGAUUUAAAAAAUAUUUCUAAAAUCACACUUAACUUAUAAUUAUUAAUUAAUAAAUUUUUCUAACUUUUUCAUCAAUUUUAGUGAUCUCAAAUCACUAUUCUGACACUACUAAAAUUUGGGCUGUUACAACUCUUCCCCCCUAAAAAAAAAAUUUCGUCCUCGAAAUUUCUCACCUGAUACAGGCUAUUAAGUCAAAUCUUUCUUCCACCCUUUCAAUCGAAGUCCAUAAAAAUUAAUCAUAACUCAUAUCACUUCCGAAAUCAUAUCAGAACUCAUUUUAGAACUUGAUACUAUGCCUGAACUUAACUGAGUAACUCUGAUGUUCUCUUGCCAUCACUUUUUCACUAGUAGUAUGACUACUAAGAAAUUUCCAGUAAUUGUCUGUCGAAACAUAACUGAGAAACUCGAAUUAUCUUAUUUAAUACCUUUGAACAAAGACCUUGGAAACCCAUCCAGCGAGAAGAAAACAGAUAAUUUAAACCCAUUGUGGAGACCCAAAAUAUAUUGAUUCCUUCACUGAUGAUUACUCAACUUUUCACUGAAUAACCCACUCUGAUUAGAACAACUGAGUCGAUUUUAUCUAUCAGAUAAUAACAUUUCAGAAUAAUCCAUUCUUCUUGUUGUCAAAACAAUCCAGAUAUACCAUAUAUCAUAAUCCUCUCGGAACACCAAUCGAAAAUUUCCACUAAUAGCAUUUAACUCAAACGAAUUUUGACAUUCCAUUAUUGACUUGUUGACAUAAUUUCAGAAUUACCUGAGAAAUGAAAACCAAAAUACAAGUUUGAGCUCAAUCUUCCUCCAUCUAUACUUUUGCCGAUGUCAACCCUUUCACGAAAACUAGAAAGGAAUUAUAUAUAUAAUAAAACUAUUUCAAUCAUUAACAUCGAAGCUUUGAACUAUACCGAAGCCACAACCAUCAAAUAGAUUAAAAACUAUAGAGCUAUACUAGGACCGACGUUCCAACUAUAUAGAUAGAACAAUACCUCAACAUCAAUAGUGCACUCCAAAAUAGAUGAAGAAAACCGAAGUAGUCCCAAUAACAACCAGUGCAGUAAUACAACUUCUAAAAUCUGAGAUCCAUAUCACCGAGUUCCCAUGAUCAAACCAAGAUUUAUAACAGUAAUAAAUAUAAUUACCUCCGGCCAAUGAAUAUCUUGUACGGAUAAACCAUGGUUAAUAGAUAAGAUUAGACCAUAAGAAUAAUAAGAAAACCGAGAUAAUAAAAUCCAAGAUGUGAAGCUAUACUAAAUUUCCGAUAAGAAAAAACCACAUUGAAUGAUAAAGAGAUCGAUGAUAUCCCAGAGAAAAUCCAAAAGAAGAAUAUCACUUGUAAAUCCAAAAGAAGAAUAUCACUUGUACGUACUAGGAAUAGUUGUGAUAAAGACUAUAUAAAUUCCAUAUAUAUAAUUCGGAGCUUCAACCAGUAGAAAUAGAAAAUAGCUUCAUAUGAGUCUUAUCAUCAAAUCUUCCAUCGAACAUAAUAGAUUAGAAAACCAAAGAAAGAUAGAGGAAUCCCGAUCAUGAAUCAACCAGACUAAUAAUAAUUUCGUCUAACAAUACGAUUAGCCAACCUUGCUAUAUGAUAAGAAUCAUAUAUGAAAAUAAAUAAUUGCAUAUACCUCUGAGGAUAAAAGAGCAUAUAGAAUACCCAUAUAGAAUACCCAGAAGAGAUCAUUGUAAAAUACUCGACUAUAACAACUGCAUUCAGAUAUGUUUGCAAUUUUCAACACAAUCCCACUGAUUACUAAAGUCAUCAAUAAUCUCACAUUAUCUCAAUCAUUAAAGAAAUCAAUUCAGAAGAAAUUCCGAUUAACCUGCUCUUUAAAUUUUAUACCUGAGUAAGUCGGUUACUCGUGAAUAGCUUCUUCCUUAAUAGCGACAUUGCAAAUCCCAAUAAUCAUUUAAAAAAAAUCUAAUAUCCUUUCUAGAACUCUCUUUACUUGCUAUCCCAUCCACAAUUCUGACUGCAUUAUUAUUCCUUCAAUUAUUGAACUCUUCAAUUUCAC